GUCGGCCUAUGCUAGGUCCAGUGUGUUUCAUGGCUGAGAUAGUGCACCGACAGGCAGGCAGCUGCGAAUCACAUUUCACUUUAGCUGAACUUCUCAAAUCUAUUUGAGCUAUGGCAGAGGGAACACAGUGAGUCUGUCCGGUCUACUAAUAGUCCGGCCCCGCCGCGGAUGUGGCAAGCGAGGACAUGCUGGUGGCCUAUUCUUUAUGAUUAUUUCUUAAAGAGCCGGCGAACGCAACACAGCUCUGUUUGCUAUGGAUGCUUCUUUGGCCGAAGUUUAUAUAGGCCUACUUUGCUACACUGUUACAAUGUAUCGACUUAGAGCACGGAUCACUACGUAGCUUAGUCGUCUUUUCUCACACUCGCAUCAUUGUUGCCGAUGUGCAGCGAGGACACGAUAGUUACGGGGGGAGACAGACGAAACACAGCGUGACUGUCGCUCAGGACUUGAACUUGAACUUCAUUUUGAAAUCGGCGUCCAUGUGUGAUCGACGUUAGUCUUCUUUUCUUCCAUAAGCAAUAUUCAUUAUUCUGUGAUUCAGUGACAAACUACGAGGAGAAAUGAGGAAAAUACAGAUGUUUUGAAGACAAUAAACUAAACUGCUGGCUACUCCACCUCGGACAUUGAAGAAGUGGACAUUUCAUAUCAACAGAAAGUAAAAGAAUUGAAGAAUGCAUGUUAUAGAUGUUGUUAUAACAGGAUAACUGCAUUAUGGUUCUGGAUCUACUACCCUGGUGGAAAAUAAGGCCUGUCUGGAUUUCAACAUCCUGGAUUUCGCAUCCAUAGUUGUUGUGUGCUGCUGACUGUCUACCCAUGUCCGAUUUGAGGUAAGUGGAUACAUGUCUAAGUGUGCUUCAUUGCAUGAAUGUGUGUAAACUAGUCUGUUUAAACCACACAUGGAAGUGCACAUUAUUUUAAUAUUGUUUAUUUUUAGUUUAAGGAUCUCAGACUCAUACAAUGCAGAGAUUGACUUCUCAAUAAUACACUCUACAGAUAAACAUCAAUAACAAUAACAUACACUACCACGUCCCCAAACAAUCCAGCAUUUUGAUGUUGCCAAUUUGUACUUCGCUGAAGAAACUGCCAAUGUAGUUUCCGAUGUAGUUAUAGUUCCUGCUUCCCUCGUGGCUGUGUUUGCAAUGGUCAUCGUUUGGGGUCAAAAGAGGAGGACAGUUUUUGAGGGACCAGAGCUGAGUGUGGUUGCUGUAGUUUUGGGAGACAUGCCAAAGCAUGGCAGAAGGUCUGUGACUCUCUCCCAGAGUGGCUUUUCAGUGAACCACUGCAGCUAAGAGAAAGCCAUCAGAACGUGUAAAUCCAAAAGAUUGUUGUCUUAUUCUUAAUUUAAGCGCUUACAGAUAUUGGCCGAUUUUAUUUUGUUUUUCAUCCGUAAAUGCGGAAGAUAAUCCAAACAGUCACAUGACGGUUUAAUUGUUUACAUCAAUGUCUUUUUAUACUGUGCAAGUCAGUUUCCAUUUUUCAACAAAUGUUUAAUUUAACUUUAAUCGACAAACAAUAUAUUAUUUUCUCAAGUGUAUUUGCUCAAGUGGUCCUGCCACGUGACACAUUUAAUAUAGCAACAUUUCUAUGUAUAAAAUUGGGUUUAUAUAAUUUCUUAGAAAAUAUGUCCCUUUCAAUGUUUUCUCUUAAAUGGAAGAACAAAUUCUGCUGUAUCAGUAUAGGCUUGAAAAAAUAAUAGGCCCCAAAAAUCCAUUGAUAGUAGUUGUGGUAUGUCCAGUGUUGAUGCCGAUUCUGAUAGACCUUCACCAAUAGCAGGAGGGUAUUUUGAUUUAACCAAUAGCAGUUGACUUAGAGGUAGGUGAGUCAUCACAGAUAAAACACACGAGAACCAACAUAUAUUAGUUGUACAAUACUCUAUUCUUCACCACAUAACACUGGAACAGUAUAAGACUUACAGAACACCGAAAUAGAUUAUGUUUAGGCCUAUUACAUUUAGUUUUCUUUAACAAAUAGAAAGGAUCCUUCAUACGGUAAGAUACAAACUCUUAUUUUAUUAUUGUAAUGUAGCCCCUCGUAAUAAAUUGUUGUUUCAAUGCCAUUAAAAGCAAUCAUACAUUGUCUCGGAAUACCGUAUUAAAAACAUUAUCAUAGGUGUUAACUAUGGCAAGAUGAGGGACAGUGUGUUGGACAAGAGAAGGGUGAUGAAGAUAUGCACGUGUAGGCACAGGGCGUACCCCCUCUGUCUCAGGCUUUUAGAGGCCUGGUGGGAAGGAACGAGCCGAAACCUAGGAUCACAAUGUGUUUCCAGAAUGUUCUAGAAUUUGGCGAGGUGUUCCAGAAACUGGUGAGGCAUUCUAGAAGGUGUUAUAGUUGUCAUUGUACCUUUACAUAUCAUCCAACACCUGAAUACAGAAAGAUGAUUUUAGGCACGUGUCUACUGUACCAUUUCUUACUUCAUUUCAUCAGCGGGUUGUACAGUUUCAGGGUACAGAAAGGAAAGAUCGUAAAAGAGGACACAGUGGAUCGGCCCUCCAAUGUUAGUAAUGGGUGGGUAUUUAUAGUUGUAUUGAAGCGCAUGUAAGCAUAAGAUACAUUUCAGACAUACUGAGCCCAUUCCUGGGGUAUGCCAAAGGGACUGCUCGUGUAAGCAGACACACACACACACAUAUACUGUCACGUAGAGGCAGCAAACACCCAGACACACUCGAUGCCAUGUGCUCCACAAUGGACCCUGGGUUUAACGAUGAAUGGAGUUCCCACGACACUGUAAAGGAGAGGAGGGCGCAAACCCCUCCUUUUAGCAUUCACAUACACACAAAAGCAAAAUAAAUGACAUAUUUACAUGCAAACAUACACACUAUUUACACACACACUUAUACACUUACAUGCGAUCACACUCAAACACAAACACACUCCACACACUCAGAAUGUGAAAAAUGUGUAAGAAGAGACACUUAAUUACCAUAUUAUGAUUUUGAAACCCUGUGUUUUGUUAAUACUCAUAAGCAAAAUGAAAUAUAUUGACAGAGAGAAGUGCAACACCACUGCAUUCAUGAGAGAAUUGAUUGAUGAGAAACAGAACAGAAAGAAAUGUAGGCCAGGCUAAAUUGCAUUCAGACAAUUUUUUAAGAUGUGAUUGCGAGGUUGGGUAAGUGUUUGCGCGCACAUUGUGUGUGUGUGUGAGAGAGAGAGGGACAGACGGAGGGAGCGAGAGCCAGAGGGAGGUAGAGAGGGGGAGAAAUAAAUGGUAAUAAAGCUGGUUUUGUGGAGGGAAUCUAAAUGAAGCAUUGAAACAAAAGAUCUAUGGGUCUAUGGGAAAAUCUAACAGCUUAUUCAAGUCCAAAGACUGUGUGUGUGUGUGUGUGUGUGUGUGUGUGUGUGUGUGUGUGUGUGUGUGUGUGUGUGUGUGUCCAUACACAUUCCAGUUCUAUCCUAAUGAACUGUUAAUUUAUCAACAUGUAGAUGUUCUAAUUUGAAGAGGUGGAGUAUAAAAACAACUUUAGUGCGUCAGUUAGACAAUUUAUUUGACUCGGCAAGUCAGUUAAGAACAUAUUCUGAUUUACGAUGACAGCCUACACCAGCCAAACCCAGAUGGCGCUGGGCCAAUUGUGCGCCGCCCUAUGGGAGAAAACACAGCCGGUUGUGAUACAGCCUGGAUUUGAACCGGGGUGUCUGUAGUGACACCUCAAGCACUGAGAAGCAGUGCCUUAGACCGCUGCGCCACUCGGGAGCCCGAGUUACCUCAUUAUAUAUCUUUAAAACCAUGCGUUUCGGGUGUGUUUACAGACAUUAUGUUGACUUAAGACAAAUCUAUAUAGAUGUAUACAGAUUUUGUCUUAUGUUUUCCUGCUAUAGUGAUCUAAGAAAAGUUUUGACCUGUAAUUUCAGUCAUAAUUACAUGACCCUUGAUGAUUAGAAAUCACCUCAGUGAUGAAGGUCAUAGAUAAGCAAAUGAGGACAUAAAUCAGGAUACACCCGAAGGAAAGACAGAAUAACAGACAUAUUUCUAUUUAAAUAGACAUUUACAGUAAUAACCCAUACGAUCUGUGAACUUCAGUAUGUGGGCCAAAAAUAGCAAUGCUCAAUACAGAAAGUGACUUUAUGGACAGAGACACCAAACGCGAACGUUUACUUUGUGCAACCGCUUGCAUUUGAUGCCACUCGGGCCAGUAACUGUCCAAUACUGUAGUCAAUUUUGGUACAGUCCUGAUCACUUCAGCAUAUGGGAAUUCAGUCUUAAUUAUAUAUAUGAACAGAGGUUCGGGGAAAGCAUAGGCCUGGGAGUGCUCCUGUACCAGUCAACGUGAAAUGAACUUGUACUGGGCAGACAAACUUUAUACAAACUAUAUGCCGGUUUUUACUAAAUCAAACGGUAAUACAUUUGUUUCUGUGUUUGUGGUUUGCUUCACGAGCGUUAUUGUACUUUCAGACUUUUAGAAGAAUUUCAGGUGUUUAAAUGGGUUGUUUGAUUUUUGCAGGUUGAUUGGAUCUGGGGGUCAAUGUAUAGAGACGGAACAGACCCCGGAUUAAAAGAUGGUGUGAACCUGAGAUGGGUCAAGGAGGAACAGGAGGCAAAAUAUGAGAUCGGACAUGGACUCAUUGCAUGCUUCUACACCUGCAUUGCUUGCUGUUUGGGGUUUUAGGCUGUGUUUCUGUACAGCACUUUGUGACAUCACCUGAUGUAAGAAGGGCUUCAUAAAUAAAUGUGAUUGAUUGAUUGCAUGCAAUUCACCUUUUCAUGUCUGAGCUCUCACAUGAGGAUCACUUUAAAGGACCACUCGGACUGUUCGUCAGAGACAAACCAACUGUCCUUUGGUGUGAGGUAGUAGGUUGUAUAGUUUUAGGGUCACACCCAAGUUGUCAGAUGACUAUACAACAUACUGUCUUUCCUGAAGUGGCUGUAAUAUCAUCACAGACUCUCCACAUGAAGAACCCUGCAAUGAAAAUAUACCUUUCGUGCCUCCAUUAAUACCAUUAUUACAACAUUAUUACAUCAUUGUAUUAUUAUUAAUUUCAUAUUUGAACAGGAAAUGGGAUUUCACAUUUUCUGGUUGGACUCCAUCUCUAACCAACUGGUCAAUCGGAUUGUGACCUGGUCGAUGGUUCAUGGUGUUCGCACAGAGUGAGGUAGUAGGUUGUGUGGUUUCAGGGUUGUUAUUUUGCCCCAUCAGGAGUUAACUGUACAACCUACUGCCUUCCCUGAAGGGCAGCAACACAACGCUACGAGCAUGGCCACAAUGGAGCUCACUGUCUACUGUGCUGCUUUUAAGUGGAGCGAGAAGUGAAGAAGGUAAGCUAUCUCAAAUCAUUGCCUUGGUACUUUUUUAUUUAUUUAACUUAACUAGGCAAGUCAGUUAAGAACAAAUUCUUGUUUUCAAUGACAGCCAAGGAACAGUGGGUUAACUGCCUUGGUCGGGGAUAGGACAACCGAUUUUCACCUUGUCAGCUCAGGGAUUUGAUCUUGCAACCUUUUGGUUACUAGACGAACGCUCCAACCACCUAGGCUACCUACCAAAAUGUGCUAAACAGAGUAUUUUAUGUAUUGGAAUUUGGAAAUAUAUAUAUAUUUCAUAUAUCUUCAAUUUUGUAAUAAUCCAUACUGUACUAAAAGUCAUAAUAAAAAGUGAGUAGUCUUAGUCA